rnacentral:rRNA from 1 species
AUUGAACGCUGGCGGCAAGCUUUACACAUGCAAGUCGAACGGUAACAGGUUAAGCUGACGAGUGGCGAACGGGUGAGUAGUGCAUCGGAACGUGCCCGAUCGUGGGGGAUAACGCAGCGAAAGCUGCGUUAAUACCGCAUACGAUCUGAGGAUGAAGGCGGGGGACCGUAAGGCCUCGCGCGAUCGGAGCGGCCGAUGUCAGAUUAGGUAGUUGGUGGGGUAAAGGCUCACCAAGCCGACGAUCUGUAGCUGGUCUGAGAGGACGACCAGCCACACUGGGACUGAGACACGGCCCAGACUCCUACGGGAGGCAGCAGUGGGGAAUUUUGGACAAUGGGCGAAAGCCUGAUCCAGCAAUGCCGCGUGCAGGAAGAGGGCCUUCGGGUUGUAAACUGCUUUUGUACGGAGCGAAAAGGCUCUCUCUAAUACAGGGGGCUCAUGACGGUACCGUAAGAAUAAGCACCGGCUAACUACGUGCCAGCCGCCGCGGUAA